GUCUUCGUCGAGGAGGAAACUCACUUCCCUGAAUACGAACUGAUAGAUUUGCGAUGUAAUGAAGGGAAGAUACGUUGGUUCGAAUCCAGCCGAAGACU